CUGGAGCUAUGCAUUUUUAUUCUUGACCAGAUACUCAUACAUCUGCUUGCACUUUUUCUAAACCAGAAGCGAACUGCUGUCUGAACUGAACUCUGCAGUGCACUCUGGGAAAGCAGUCCCCUGUCUGAGGAGCCCGGGUUGGCAGAAGAGCAGUCAGGGCAGGAAUCUACAGCCUCUCUCCACUGUGGAAUCUUACAAACCACAGAGCCUUACCUCCAGUAACACAGAACAUACCAGCUUCUCACACCAAGGUGGGGCAGAAAGGCUGACACACUCCGACACAGCCACAUAUUCCAGCUGGACUCGGCAGCCCCCGACUUGCCUUGGAAAGGGGGCAGGGAGCUGCAAGUCCAUCAUGGACAAGGCAAGCUCGGAGGGGCCUGACCCUGACUUGAACGAUUUUGCGGAUGCCUCAGUUUUUGAUUAUUCCUCCAUCACCUCCUCCAGUCCCGACUGGACCACUGGGGAGGAAGAUGGCGUCUGGGGCAAAGGUGACCUUGGUGUGCUUGAGGAUAAAGCUGAAGAGCAGGUGUCAUUGAGGACACAUUCCUUCAAGCCAGUAAGGGCCUCUCAAAGAGAAGCCUCCCCAAUGUGCAGAGAAUCUGGGGCUCCGUACACUGAAGGACAUAUGUUUGAAUAUUCUGACGAGCUGCCUACAGGGGGCAUUGGCCCAGAGAACUCCAAACAGGCAGAUCCUGCUUUGGCAAGGGCCAAGUUGAGUAAACUCCACAAAGCAGCGAGGGAUCCUGGGAGAUCAUCUUCACCCAGGUGUCAACAAAGCAGAGUGGACCUCAGGUCUUUCCAGGAGGACGCUGUCUUGAAAGCUCAGGGCAUUACCUACAGACGAAGGGAUCCAAAAUGUAAGAGAUCUGCCCCACAUGGACCACCGGAUGACUGUGAAUGCAGCCGGGACAGUGAGGACCCAUGCAGCACUGUGUGACUGAGAUGCAAACUAGCUCUUCUCUCAGGGUCAGCAGUCGAGAAGAGCAGAGCAAGGACAAAAGCUGUUACCUACAGCUUUAAUACCUAUUUAAUAUGAAAUACCUUGAGCUUUUACAAGUUGGGAUUCUGUUUCCCUGCAAUUACUUUUGAACUAGUUGCCACUAUGAGUUAAGGUUAAAUAUUCCUCAUCAGUCUUUGUUUUGCAUUCAUGAUCUUACACGUGCCAGUAAGAUCAAAAGUCCUGCACAUCUGUUGAACUAUAGCGGACUGACAUUUGUCUCUAACACUCUACCUGCACUAAAGCAAUAAACUUGUAGCACCUAAGAAAAACAUUCAGAAUAAAUUUAAGUGACUAUGUUAGAGACUGUAAC
rnacentral:lncRNA from 1 species